AAAGAAAGUAAGCAAGGGCGCAUGGCGGAUGCCUUGGCUCUCGGAGGCGAUGAAGGACGUGAUAAGCUGCGAUAAGCUUCGGGUAGGUGCAAAUAACCUUUGAUCCGAAGAUUUCCGAAUGGGACAACCCGUCAUUCUGAAGGAAUGACAUCUUGCAUAGCAAGAGGCUAACGCAGGGAACUGAAACAUCUUAGUACCUGCAGGAAAAGAAAAUAAUAAUGAUUCCCCUAGUAGUGGCGAGCGAACGGGGAUUAGCCCAAACCAAUGUUGUUACGGCAAUAUUGGGGUUGUAGGACCACGAUGUCGCAAGAAAUUUAGUGAGAAGAAUUCUUUGGAAAAUGAAACCAUAGACGGUGAUAGUCCGGUAUUCGAAGCUAAACGAAGCGUAGUGGUAUCCUGAGUAGCGCGGGACACGAGGAAUCUUGCGUGAAUCUGCCGGGACCAUCCGGUAAGGCUAAAUACUCCCGAGAGACCGAUAGCGAACCAGUACUGUGAAGGAAAGGUGAAAAGCACUUCGAAUAGAAGAGUGAAAUAGUCCCUGAAACCGUGCGCCUACAAGCGGUCGGAGCAGCGUAAGUUGUGACGGCGUGCCUUUUGCAUAAUGAACCUACGAGUUACUUUUUCCGGCAAGGUUAAGCAUUUCAAAAUGUGUAGCCGAAGCGAAAGCGAGUCUGAACAGGGCGAUUAGUCGGAAGGAGUAGACGCGAAACCAAGUGAUCUACCCUUGGUCAGGUUGAAGGUUAGGUAACACUAACUGGAGGACCGAACCGAUAAGCGUUGAAAAGCUUCCGGAUGAACUGAGGGUGGGGGUGAAAGGCUAAUCAAACUUGGAGAUAGCUCGUACUCCCCGAAAUGCAUUUAGGUGCAGCCUUGGGAAUUACUACUGUGAGGUAGAGCGACUGAUAAGAUGCGAGGGCUUCACCGCCUAUCAAGUCUUGAUAAACUCCGAAUGCGCAGUAGUUCGAUCCCAGGAGUGAGGGCAUGGGUGCUAAGGUCCAUGUCCUAAAGGAGAAGAAUCCGGACCAUCAGCUAAGGUCCCGAAAUAAUUGCUAAGUUGAACUAACGAAGUCAGAUUGCUAAGACAGCUAGGAUGUUGGCUUGGAAGCAGCCAUUCAUUUAAAGAGUGCGUAACAGCUCACUAGUCGAGGAGUUUGGCGUGGAUAAUAAUCGGGCAUCAAGCAAUUUACCGAAGCUAUGGGAUCAGUAAUGAUCGGUAGGGGAGCAUUCCACUCUGCGUCGAAGGUGAAGCGUGAGCUUUGCUGGAGCGUGUGGAAAAGCAAAUGUAG
rnacentral:rRNA from 1 species